rnacentral:rRNA from 1 species
UACGUAGGGGGCAAGCGUUGUCCGGAUUUAUUGGGCGUAAAGAGCGUGUAGGCGGCCAUACAGGUCAGCUGUGAAAACUCGAGGCUCAACCUCGAGACGUCGGUUGAAACCGUAUGGCUAGAGUCCGGAAGAGGAGAGUGGAAUUCCCGGUGUAGCGGUGAAAUGCGCAGAUAUCAGGAGGAACACCGGUGGCGAAGGCGGGUCUCUGGGCCGAAAUUGACGCUGAGGAGCGAAAGCGUGGGGAGCAAACAGG